UAUCUGGUGUACUUUAUCCUCUGUGAAUGGUACACAGUAGGCAAUUCUGAAUACCUACAUGCAUACAUGUACACGUACAAGUACAAAUUUGCAUUAUAAGGUUAUGUAAUUUAUAUACUUGUAAUGCACAUGUACCUUUGAAAGAGCAAGCCAAACUCAAAACACAAACAACGCAAUCUGAGACAAAGCCUUGUAACUUGUGAUAGCUGACGAUAUUGCCAAGGACUUUCCCGGAAGUGCUGGCGUCUGAGCUGCUUGUCUCCACAAGAGUUGACCUGUCGUGUGUUGGCAAAGUUCGUGUACCAUAGCUGGAUAUUAUGCAAUCUUAAUAAUUAAACGUGGAAUAGGGGAUUAUCGAUCUCUUCCAUUCCGAAAUGCUUUCGUGUCUCAAUUUUCCCUGUUUCAAAUGGCUGAUUUUUGAUGCAUUGAAUGUGGCAACUGCUUUGUUCUGCCAAUCGUUGGAUCCUCACGCUUGUUUACCUGUGAGCCUUGGAUUGUCAGCCAAAGCUGCAAUAACGGCUGCAAUAACGGGAGCAAAGACAAGAACAUUUUGUUUGAGAGUAGAGUCAUACAUGACAAUGCCGUCUGACACAAUUGCUCCAGACAUCUCCAUACAAUCAACUUUGUUUGAACAAGCGAUGAAAUGGAUGUUAUGCAGCUGACUGUUUUGAUGACAAGGUAGACCAGCAAGAUCAACUCCUCCCACACAGACACAUACACACACACACACACACACUCGUUCCAACUCUUCCCACACACGCACACGCUCGCACACAUACACCACACAGACACAUACACACACACACACUCGUUCCAACUCCUCCCACACACACACACAUACUUAGUUACAUUCGUUCCAACUCUCCAACUCUUCCCACACACACACACCUACACACACUUAGUUACAUUCGUUUCAACUCCUCCCACUCAACUCCUCCCACACAGACACAUACACACACACACCAACUCUUCCCACACACACACACACACACACGCACACACAAUCAUACUUAGUUACUCAACUCCUCCCACACAGACACAUACACACACACACGCACACACUCGUUGGCACACACUCGUUCCAACUCCUCCCAUACACACACACACAUACUUCGUUACAUUCUUUACAUUCAUUCUUCCCACACACACACACUUAGUUACAUUCGUUUCAACUCCUCCCCCCCCCCCACACCACACACACACCUGGUCAAAGCUGUAGUGGGCCUAAGUUGAGAAGAGAGGGGGUGGCUGCAACUCCAGUGAAGUGCUCUAGUUAUUAUUGUUUUGAUGAUUGCACAUGCAUGCAUGCCGAUGUGGGAUCCAUGCUCUUAUCCCUCAAAGAAGGACAGUCUCAACUAAAGGGCAUGUGCACCAAGAUUGGUGCAAAACAGCCUUAUAACAGCUCAGCAAAGAGAGCAAUUUUCACGCAAUUUUCACUCAAAACAGCUAAUUUAGAGGAAGCCAAGUCUUUUCUCUUCGUGAUCUAGUUCUGGUACCUCGGGUGAUGCAAUCGAAGAGGAUGAUUGAGGUGAAGGUUCUGUGAGCAUGGAGCAAAAUCCUGGAUAUCCUGUUGGAUAUGAGGAAUUGGCACCAAUACUACCCCCAGGCAGUGUCUAUACAUGGACAACAGUAUUUGUCUCCAACACAUAUGUACACGAGUCACCCUACACACAAAUUUUGCCUCAAGUAUGCAGUACGCUCUCCUGAAAGAAAAGGAAAAGCUGUCACCAGAAUAUGGCAUGACACUCAUAAUAAAUUUAAGAGUGUUGGUGAAGAUGGAAUACGAAGUUUGUUUAGCGAUAAGUUGAACGAACUUCGUAUUCCAUCU